UUUUAUGGUCAAGCUGUGAAGGGCAAACGGUGGAUGCCUUGGCGCCAGGAGGCGAUGAAGGACGUGGUUAGCUGCGAUAAGCCACGGGGAGCUGCUAAGCGAGCUUUGAUCCGUGGAUCUCCGAAUGGGGAAACCCGGCCGGGGUCAUGCCCGGUCAUCCUGCACUGAAUCCAUAGGUGCUGGAGGCGAACCCGGGGAACUGAAACAUCUCAGUACCCGGAGGAAGAGAAAUCAACCGAGACUCCCCUAGUAGCGGCGAGCGAAAGGGGAUCAGCCCAAACCGGCGGGAAGCAAUUCCUUCCGGGGUUGUGGGACUCCGUCGUGGGACUCGAAGAGGUAGCGGAACGGUCUGGAAAGGCCGGCCAUAGAGGGUGAUGGCCCCGUACGCGAAACUUCGACGAGCCCUAGGAGCAUCCCGAGUACCACGGGGCACGUGCAACCCUGUGGGAAUCUGGGGGGACCAUCCUCCAAGGCUAAGUACUACCUGGCGACCGAUAGUGAACCAGUACCGUGAGGGAAAGGCGAAAAGAACCCCGGCGAGGGGAGUGAAAUAGAUCCUGAAACCGUUUGCCUACAUUCAGUGGGAGCCCUAUGGCGUGGCAACACGCAACGGGUGACCGCGUACCUUUUGUUUAAUGGGUCCGCGAGUUACUCCUCGGCAGCGAGGUUAAGCCGUUAGGCGGAGCCGUAGCGAAAGCGAGUCUGAACAGGGCGUUCAGUUGCCGGGGGUAGACCCGAAACCGGGUGAGCUAGCCAUGGCCAGGGUGAAGCUCGGGUAAGACCGAGUGGAGGCCCGAACCGCAGCAGGUUGAAAACUGCCCGGAUGAGCUGUGGCUAGGGGUGAAAGGCCAAUCAAACUCGGAGAUAGCUGGUUCUCCCCGAAAUAUAUUGAGGUAUAGCCUCGCGUGAUCACCACCGGAGGUAGAGCACUGGAUGGGCUAGGGGUCCUACCAGAUUACCGAACCCAACCAAACUCCGAAUGCCGGUGAGUGCAGCGCGGGAGUCAGACUGCGGGUGAUAAGGUCCGUGGUCGAGAGGGAAACAGCCCAGAUCGCCAGCUAAGGUCCCCAAGUCCGUGCUAAGUGGGAAAGGAAGUGGGAGCGCUCAGACAACCAGGAGGUUGGCUUAGAAGCAGCCACCCUUUAAAAAGUGCGUAAUAGCUUACUGGUCUAGUGAGCCCGCGCCGAAAAUGUAACGGGGCUCAAGCACGGCACCGAAGCUGCGGGAUUGCGACACCUUCGGGUGUGGCAAUCGGUAGGGGAGCGUUCCAGUCGCCUGUGAAGCUCGACGGAAACGACGGGUGGAGGCCCUGGAAGUGCUUAUGCGGACAUGAGUAGCGAUAAAGUCGGUGAGAAACCGACUCGCCGUAAACCUAAGGGUUCCUGAGUAAAGCUAAUCUGCUCAGGGUUAGUCGGCCCCUAAGCCGAGGGCGGAAGCCGUAGGCGAUGGGAAACGGGUCAAUAUUCCCGUACCACCAGGAGAACGUUCGACCGAAGGGGGGACGGAGAAGGGUAGCUCGGCCGGGUGCUGGACAUCCCGGUUCAAGCCCGUAGGCGGGUGGCGCAGGCAAAUCCGCGCCGCCAUUCAAACGCCGAGAGGUGACGUCGAGGGCCUUAGGCCCACAAAGCGAGUGAGCCCAUGCUUCCUAGAAAAGCCUCGUAGGGAGUUGUUCUGGUGACCGUACCGCAAACCGACUCAGGUAGGUGGGCAGAGCAUGCCAAGGCGCUUGAGAGAACUCUGGUCAAGGAACUCGGCAAAUUGACACCGUAACUUCGGGAGAAGGUGUGCCUCGG
rnacentral:rRNA from 1 species